rnacentral:rRNA from 1 species
UGGGGAAUUGUUCGCAAUGGGCGCAAGCCUGACGACGCAACGCCGCGUGGAGGAUGAAGACCUUCGGGUCGUAAACUCCUUUCGAUCGAGACGAACGACCUCCGGGUGAACAAUCCGGAGGAGUGACGGUACCGAGAGAAGAAGCCCCGGCUAACUCCGUGCCAGCAGCCGCGGUAAUACGGGGGGGGCAAGCGUUGUUCGGAAUUACUGGGCGUAAAGGGCUCGUAGGCGGCCAACUAAGUCAGACGUGAAAUCCCUCGGCUUAACCGGGGAACUGCGUCUGAUACUGGAUGGCUUGAGAUCGGGAGAGGGAUGCGGAAUUCCAGGUGUAGCGGUGAAAUGCGUAGAUAUCUGGAGGAACACCGGUGGCGAAGGCGACAUCCUGGACCGACACUGACGCUGAGGAGCGAAAGCCAGGGGAGCAAACGGG